rnacentral:rRNA from 1 species
UACGGGGGGGGGCAAGCGUUGUUCGGAAUUACUGGGCGUAAAGGGCUCGUAGGUGGCCAACUAAGUCAGACGUGAAAUCCCUCGGCUUAACCGGGGAACUGCGUCUGAUACUGGAUGGCUUGAGUUUGGGAGAGGGAUGCGGAAUUCCAGGUGUAGCGGUGAAAUGCGUAGAUAUCUGGAGGAACACCGGUGGCGAAGGCGGCAUCCUGGACCAACACUGACGCUGAGGAGCGAAAGCCAGGGGAGCAAACGGGG